AACAUCACAUAAUACAGCGACACUCCCACCUGCAACUCGUCAUAUCUCUGUUGUUACGUCACACCUCUCAUCACACACACUGACAGUGACUCUGGUCUCUAAUGUCAGUUGGCUCAGGACACAAUAAUGAUCACAGCUGGUCUGAUCACACUCUCUGCAGCUCUGCUCUGUAUUGUAGAUCUAAUCGAGGGGAGUGAUGUCACUCAGACCCCUCCGCUGUGGAGGGACGAGGGUCAGUCUGCCACGAUGAACUGCAGUCACACUAAGGGUGGUAGUUUUUACCAGAUGUACUGGUACAGGCAGCUGCCAGGGGAGGGAAUGAAGCAAAUUGUUUUCACGACUCCAACUCCCCCACAUAAAUAUGAAAGUGGCUUCAGUGAGGACAAAUUUCCAGCACAGAAGAAAGAUGCUCAGACUGGAUCUCUGACGGUGAAGAAGCUGCUGCUUGAGGACAGUGGAGUGUAUUUUUGUGCUGCGAGUCAACACAGUGAUACAAGAGAUUUAGACGGCUGCACAAAUACACACAAAUGUGAAUAG